UAGGGAAUCUUCCGCAAUGGGCGAAAGCCUGACGGAGCAACGCCGCGUGAGUGAUGAAGGUCUUCGGAUCGUAAAACUCUGUUAUUAGGGAAGAACAAAUGUGUAAGUAACUAUGCACGUCUUGACGGUACCUAAUCAGAAAGCCACGGCUAACUACGUGCCAGCAGCCGCGGUAAUACGUAGGUGGCAAGCGUUAUCCGGAAUUAUUGGGCGUAAAGCGCGCGUAGGCGGUUUUUUAAGUCUGAUGUGAAAGCCCACGGCUCAACCGUGGAGGGUCAUUGGAAACUGGAAAACUGGAGUGCAGAAGAGGAGAGUGGAAUUCCAUGUGUAGCGGUGAAAUGCGCAGAGAUAUGGAGGAACACCAGUGGCGAAGGCGACUUUCUGGUCUGUAACUGACGCUGAUGUGCGAAAGCGUGGGGAGCAAACAGG
rnacentral:rRNA from 1 species